rnacentral:rRNA from 1 species
CCUGAGAAACCCAAAAGAUCGAAUGGGGAGAUUCAUCGUCAGCUCAUUUUGUAUAUAUACGAGUUAUGAUAUGGGUUACUACUUGUAGUAUUGCCUGUACAUUCUUGUAUAUUUUAUUGCAAGAUGUUGUCGGCGUGCACUUCUCCCCUAGUAGGACGUCGCGACCCGUUGAGUGUCGGUCUACGGCCCGAGUGGUAGCCUUUAAUUCUUGUAAUUAAAGACCCUUGGUGUUUCCUGGCUGGCUACUCGGCGGUAUUCGUACGGUAUUAAGCCGCAUUUAUGCGUUCAUAUCCGUCGCAAGCGCGGUCAAUUUUUGGUAGUACGGACCUAGUGCCGUCGCUAUAAUUGAUCAGCUGUUGGUUGUACGGUAUUCUAGAACUGGCUUAACACAUACCGGUCUGCGAUGCUACUGCUUUGGUACUUUC